rnacentral:tRNA from 1 species
GGGUGCGUAGCUCAGCUUGGAUUAGAGCACUAGCCUUCUAAGCUAGGGGUCGAGGGUUCAAAUCCCUUCGCGCCCG